rnacentral:rRNA from 1 species
AACGAACGCUGGCGGCAGGCUUAACACAUGCAAGUCGAACGCGCCCUUCGGGGCGAGUGGCAGACGGGUGAGUAACGCGUGGGAACCUACCUUUUGGUACGGAAUAACUCAGGGAAACUUGAGCUAAUACCGUAUGUGCCCUUCGGGGGAAAGAUUUAUCGCCAAAGGAUGGGCCCGCGUCGGAUUAGCUAGUUGGUGGGGUAAUGGCCUACCAAGGCGACGAUCCGUAGCUGGUCUGAGAGGAUGAUCAGCCACACUGGGACUGAGACACGGCCCAGACUCCUACGGGAGGCAGCAGUGGGGAAUAUUGGACAAUGGGGGCAACCCUGAUCCAGCCAUGCCGCGUGAGUGAUGAAGGCCCUAGGGUUGUAAAGCUCUUUCGCCGGUGAAGAUAAUGACGGUAACCGGAGAAGAAGCCCCGGCUAACUUCGUGCCAGCCGCCGCAGUAACAC